AGCCCAGAGAAAUUUGGAUUAAUACCCCAUAAUAUAUUUGAUAAGGCAUCCUUAUUAAUAUUAAAGCUUCGGCACCUUGAUGAUGGGUGUGCGGCUGAUUAGAUAGUUGGCGGGGUAACGGCCCACCAAGUCUACGAUCAGUAGCUGAUGUGAGAGCAUGAUCAGCCACACGGGCACUGAGACACGGGCCCGACUCCUACGGGAGGCAGCAGUAAGGAAUAUUGGACAAUGGACGAAAGUCUGAUCCAGCCAUGCCGCGUGAAGGAUUAAGGUCCUCUGGAUUGUAAACUUCUUUUAUAUGGGACGAAAAAGGGCAUUCUUGUUCACUUGACGGUACCAUAUGAAUAAGCACCGGCUAACUCCGUG
rnacentral:rRNA from 1 species